CAAAGGAGCAAUCCGCUGAAAGAUGGGCUCGCGUCCGAUUAGGUAGUUGGCGGGGCAACGGCCCACCAAGCCGACGAUCGGUAGCCGGACUGAGAGGUUGAACGGCCACAUUGGGACUGAGACACGGCCCAGGCUCCUACGGGAGGCAGCAGUGAGGGAUAUUGGUCAAUGGGGGAAACCCUGAACCAGCAACGCCGCGUGAGGGAAGACGGUUUUCGGAUUGUAAACCUCUGUCCUCUGUGAAGAUGAUGACGGUAGCAGAGGAGGAAGCUCCGGCUAACUACGUGCCAGCAGCCGCGGUAAUACGUAGGGAGCAAGCGUUGUCCGGAUUUACUGGGUGUAAAGGGUGCGUAGGCGGCUUUGCAAGUCAGAAGUGAAAUCCAUGGGCUUAACCCAUGAACUGCUUUUGAAACUGCAGAGCUUGAGUGGAGUAGAGGUAGGCGGAAUUCCCGGUGUAGCGGUGAAAUGCGUAGAGAUCGGGAGGAACACCAGUGGCGAAGGCGGCCUGCUGGGCUCUAACUGACGCUGAGGCACGAAAGCGUGGGUAGCAAACAGGAUUAGAUACCCUGGUAGUCCACGCUGUAAACGAUGAUUACUAGGUGUGGGUGGACUGACCCCAUCC
rnacentral:rRNA from 1 species